rnacentral:rRNA from 1 species
GGAGCCAAAGCGAAAGCGAGUCUGAAAUGGGCGUUGGUAUCUGGGGCUGGACCCGAAGCCGAGGCGAUCUACCUAUGGCCAGGUUGAAGCGUGCGUAACAGCGCGUGGAGGACCGAACCGUUGUGGGUUGAAAACCGCUCGGAUGAGCUGUGGGUAGGGGUGAAAGGCCAAUCAACCUCCGUGAUAGCUGGUUCUCCCCGAAAUGCAUUUAGGUGCAGCGUUACGUGUUUCUUGCCGGAGGUAGAGCUACUGGAUGGCCGAUGGGCCUCACCAGGUUACUGACGUCAGCCAAACUCCGAAUGCCGGUAAGACAAAAGCGUGGCAGUGAGACGGCGGGGGAUAAGCUCCGUGCGUCGAGAGGGAAACAGCCCAGAUCGCCGACUAAGGCCCCUAAGCGUGUGCUAAGUGGAAAAGGAUGUGCAGUCGCGAAGACAACCAGGAGGUUGGCUUAGAAGCAGCCACCCUUGAAAGAGUGCGUAAUAGCUCACUGGUCAAGUGAUUGUGCGCCGAUAAUGUAGCGGGGCUCAAGCACACCGCCGAAGCCGCGGCAAUCAACUUUUCGUUGAUUGGGUAGGGGAGCGUCCUGCAUCCAGUGAAGCAGCCUAGUGAUGGAGCUGUGGAGGGUGUGGGAGUGAGAAUGCAGGCAUGAGUAGCGAAUAGGCAAGUGAGAACCUUGCCCGCCGAAAGACCAAGGGUUCCUGGGGCAGGCCAGUCCGCCCAGGGUGAGUCGGGACCUAAGGCGAGGCCGACAGGCGUAGUCGAUGGACAACGGGUUGAUAUUCCCGUACCCGUGUGUGUGCGUCCGUGAUGAAUCCAUUGUGCUAACCAUCCAAAUGGCACGUGAUGAUCCUUUCGGGGAUCACGUGUUGCCGGCUGCGUGGGACCCUGGUGGGUAGUAGUCAAGCGACGGGGUGACGCAGGAAGGUAGCCGUACCGGUCAGUGGUAAUACCGGGGUAAGCCUGUAGGACGAACGAUAGGCAAAUCCGUCGUUCAUAUGUCUGAGAGGUGAUGCAUAGCCGAGUGAGGCGAAUUCGGUGAUCCUAUGCUGCCAAGAAAAGCCUCUAGCGAGUGCACACAUGGCCCGUACCCCAAACCAACACAGGUGGUCAGGUAGAGAAUACUAAGGCGUACGAGUGAACUAUGGUUAAGGAACUCGGCAAAAUACCUCCGUAACUUCGGGAGAAGGAGGACCUCCUACUGUCAACACCCUCGCGGUGGGCAGCGGUGGGGGGUGGCACAAACCAGUGAGAAGCGACUGUUUACUAAAAACACAGGUCCGUGCGAAGUCGCAAGACGAUGUAUACGGACUGACGCCUGCCCGGUGCUGGAAGGUUAAGAGGACCUGUUAACCCUUCGGGGUGAAGCGGAGAAUUUAAGCCCCAGUAAACGGCGGUGGUAACUAUAACCAUCCUAAGGUAGCGAAAUUCCUUGUCGGGUAAGUUCCGACCUGCACGAAUGGCGUAACGACUUCUCAACUGUCUCAACCAUAGACUCGGCGAAAUUGCACUACGAGUAAAGAUGCUCGUUACGCGCGGCAGGACGAAAAGACCCCGGGACCUUCACUAUAGCUUGGUAUUGAUGUUCGGUUCGGUUUGUGUAGGAUAGGUGGGAGACUGUGAAACAAUUACGCCAGUAAUUGCGGAGUCGUUGUUGAAAUACCACUCUGAUCGUAUUGGACACCUAACGUCGAACCCUGAAUCGGGUUCACGGACAGUGCCUGGCGGGUAGUUUAACUGGGGCGGUUGCCUCCUAAAAUGUAACGGAGGCGCCCAAAGGUUCCCUCAACCUGGACGGCAAUCAGGUGUUGAGUGUAAAUGCACAAGGGAGCUUGACUGCGAGACUUACAAGUCAAGCAGGGACGAAAGUCGGGAUUAGUGAUCCGGCACCCCCGAGUGGAAGGGGUGUCGCUCAACGGAUAAAAGGUACCCCGGGGAUAACAGGCUGAUCUUCCCCAAGAGUCCAUAUCGACGGGAUGGUUUGGCACCUCGAUGUCGGCUCGUCGCAUCCUGGGGCUGGAGCAGGUCCCAAGGGUUGGGCUGUUCGCCCAUUAAAGCGGCACGCGAGCUGGGUUUAGAACGUCGUGAGACAGUUCGGUCUCUAUCCGCCGCGCGCGUCAGAAACUUGAGGAAACCUGUCCCUAGUACGAGAGGACCGGGACGGACGAACCUCUGGU